CUUCCUGCUUAGGAGAAUGGGGGGGGGCGUUGAGAAGGGGGAAGAGAAGUACAGAUGUAAUUUCCUUUUCUUUUUUUUUUUAAACUUCACUGCUCUGAGUCAGAAGCCAGAAUGGAUGUUCUACUUGUAGUCAUAACUGCUGUGCCGCUCAUCUUGGGACAAGAAUAUGAGGAAGAACAAAUAUAUGAAGAAAUAUAUGAAGAUUAUCAGGUGGUCUAUUAUACAGUCACUCCAUAUUAUGAUGACUUAGUCAACUUUACCUUUGACUAUUCCCAAUUUGAGGAGGAGGAUAGAAUGAACAUUGAGAAAGAAACUAUAACUGAAGCAGGAGACAGGAAGGUUAAUCCUGAGAAAAAACUUCCAGACAAUGGCAUACAGAAGACAACAGAACAAGCCAGUACUCUGUCCACUACACCACAUGAGAGAUUAUACACAAAGAAGAACUGGGGCCAAGAAGGAAAAGAAGAUGGUCCCAGAGACAGAGAAGGAUCUACCACAGAGGAGAGAGAAGGCUGCCAUGACUUCUUUGAACAGGGAGCUGGGGGUGGUGGUGGUGCAGAAACUGGAAAAAGAAAUAAAGAAUAAUUGAACCACAAAAAUUAUCUCAUUGACCUUCCAUAAGAUCUUCCCUUAGAGAAUCAUCAUAUUACUUCUUGGGCCAUUUGGGUGGGAAUGAGCCGUGAUUUUU
rnacentral:lncRNA from 1 species